AGCAGGAGUUAGAGGAGCCGGCGCUUCUGGGACACGUGUUCCAUUUUGGAUACAUCUUUCUCUCUCUCUUGACGAAACCUGCUUCUCUCAAUCUUCCGUGUUGGAUUUGCCGUCUAAAGUUUCUGACUUUCCGACGAGGAAGUAGAGGAGUAAGACGAAGAUCAUAGCAACAAAGCGAAAUAGCUCUCUUCUCUGUAGAUACAAGCGAUCAGACUCAACUCUGUUCAGAUUCCACAAAGGUUAGUCCAUAUCGAGAUGUAAACGAGGAAGGUGUUGUUGGUAAGGAGGAGGAUCAGUUAGCUCUUGACGUGAAGGGUUUAAAUUAUUUGUGCAUACGCUGUUGCAAUCAGGCAACUUGACCGUAAUGGUGCUCAAGGAAUCAGGGAGUUUGCGGUUGAGGUGUUGACACUUACUUUGAUUGGAGUAGUGUGAUGAAUGAAGAAGAUAAUAGAGCAUGGUUAUGGAGAGCAAGUCUUUGGUGAAAGCCGACAGAGAUGAGUCCUCACCUUAUGCUGCUAUGCUUGCUGCUCAAGAUGUCGCUCAGAGAUGCAAGGUAAAAGCAAAUUUUCUAUUGCCAAAAUUUUCAUCUAGAAUGUUUUUCAUUGCAUCAUAGAAUAUGAACAAAACUCAGCUCUGAACAGAUUUAUUUUCCUGCUAUAUGACCAUAAGAUUGUCUUGAAUUUUGGUUGCUUGAAAAUUCUCUAUUGCCAAAUUUUUUUUAA